UUUUUUAUCACUCUUGUUACCUUAAACAACGGAAUAUCUGUUUCUAGUAGGCAGUGACAAAUACGAAAAUGGGAAUAGCUUCCAGACUGCGGGCAGGAGGACAGAAGAGCUGAGGUACGUGAGAUCUGAACCUGGAAGAUGACUGAGGCUCACACCUCAUUUACUUCUCUGACCACUGCUGCUCACUGAGCAGCUGUCUCCAGUGAUCUGUCCAUGAUGAUACAGCCAGUGCUACUUUAAUUUUGCUUGCAAAUAGGCAGCAACAGAUGGCACA